rnacentral:rRNA from 1 species
GAUGAACGCUGGCGGCGUGCCUAAUACAUGCAAGUCGAGCGAACGGACGAGAAGCUUGCUUCUCUGAUGUUAGCGGCGGACGGGUGAGUAACACGUGGAUAACCUACCUAUAAGACUGGGAUAACUUCGGGAAACCGGAGCUAAUACCGGAUAAUAUUUUGAACCGCAUGGUUCAAAAGUGAAAGACGGUCUUGCUGUCACUUAUAGAUGGAUCCGCGCUGCAUUAGCUAGUUGGUAAGGUAACGGCUUACCAAGGCAACGAUGCAUAGCCGACCUGAGAGGGUGAUCGGCCACACUGGAACUGAGACACGGUCCAGACUCCUACGGGAGGCAGCAGUAGGGAAUCUUCCGCAAUGGGCGAAAGCCUGACGGAGCAACGCCGCGUGAGUGAUGAAGGUCUUCGGAUCGUAAAACUCUGUUAUUAGGGAAGAACAUAUGUGUAAGUAACUGUGCACAUCUUGACGGUACCUAAUCAGAAAGCCACGGCUAACUACGUGCCAGCAGCCGCGGUAAUACGUAGGUGGCAAGCGUUAUCCGGAAUUAUUGGGCGUAAAGCGCGCGUAGGCGGUUUUUUAAGUCUGAUGUGAAAGCCCACGGCUCAACCGUGGAGGGUCAUUGGAAACUGGAAAACUUGAGUGCAGAAGAGGAAAGUGGAAUUCCAUGUGUAGCGGUGAAAUGCGCAGAGAUAUGGAGGAACACCAGUGGCGAAGGCGACUUUCUGGUCUGUAACUGACGCUGAUGUGCGAAAGCGUGGGGAUCAAACAGGAUUAGAUACCCUGGUAGUCCACGCCGUAAACGAUGAGUGCUAAGUGUUAGGGGGUUUCCGCCCCUUAGUGCUGCAGCUAACGCAUUAAGCACUCCGCCUGGGGAGUACGACCACAAGGUUGAAACUCAAAGGAAUUGACGGGGACCCGCACAAGCGGUGGAGCAUGUGGUUUAAUUCGAAGCAACGCGAAGAACCUUACCAAAUCUUGACAUCCUUUGACAACUCUAGAGAUAGAGCUUUCCCCUUCGGGGGACAAAGUGACAGGUGGUGCAUGGUUGUCGUCAGCUCGUGUCGUGAGAUGUUGGGUUAAGUCCCGCAACGAGCGCAACCCUUAAGCUUAGUUGCCAUCAUUAAGUUGGGCACUCUAAGUUGACUGCCGGUGACAAACCGGAGGAAGGUGGGGAUGACGUCAAAUCAUCAUGCCCCUUAUGAUUUGGGCUACACACGUGCUACAAUGGACAAUACAAAGGGCAGCGAAACCGCGAGGUCAAGCAAAUCCCAUAAAGUUGUUCUCAGUUCGGAUUGUAGUCUGCAACUCGACUACAUGAAGCUGGAAUCGCUAGUAAUCGUAGAUCAGCAGGCUACGGUGAAUACGUUCCCGGGUCU